GAAUGUGAGGACGAUCUGGCUGUGACAUGUCACCCCACUGAUGACCAAGUUUAUUCAGCUGAUCUGGCUGGCUGGACAGAUGUCCUCUUCGUCCCUCACCACUCCAUGUGCAUCCCUCCUGAAGCUGCGUGCUCAGUCAAAGAGGACAACCUUCUCUGAAUAGAGGACAGGUCCUUGGUCAAGGGUGCAUGAGUAGCUGAGCUCCCCUGCAAGAACCUCUGAACAAGGUCUCAAAAGGCGAUUAUUAUAAGCGUAUUUAGCAAACCUAAUGAGGCCAUGAGCAAGCAGCUGAAUU
rnacentral:snRNA from 1 species